rnacentral:ncRNA from 1 species
AAUAAAUUUUUUAUGGUUUAAAAAAUUUAUAAUAAAUUUGUUUUACAUAUAAAUUUUAGUGUUGAUUUUUAAUUAUUUUAAUAAUAAUUAAUUAAAGUUAAAUAGUAAUUAAUAUUAAAAAUUUAAGAAAUUAAGAUUUAGCAUUAUAUAAAUUAUUAACUAAUUUUGUGCCAGCAGUUGCGGUUAUACAAAAAAUAAAUUAAAUUUUUUUAGUAAUUAAUAAAUAAUUGAUUGAAUAAUUUAAAUUUUAAAUUAUUAAGUGAAAUUUUAAUUUAAUAAAAAUUUAUUAAAAAUUUAUGUUAUUAAUAAAUUUUAUAAAAAACUAGGAUUAGAUACCCUAUUAUUAAAAAUUUAAAUUAAAAAUACUAAAAUAGUAAAUAAUUAUUUAUUGAAACUUAAAUAAUUUGGCGGUAUUUUAGUUCUUUUAGAGGAAUCUGUUUAUUAAUUGAUAAUCCACGAGUUAAUUUACUUAAUUUAAAAGUUUAUAUAUCGUUGUUAAAAAAAUAUUUUUUAAUAAAAAUAAUAUUUUAAAAUUUAAAUAGAAAAUUAAAUCAGAUCAAGAUGUAGUUUAUAGUUAAGAAUAUAAUGGAUUACAAUAAGUUUAUUUAUACGGAAUUUAAUUAGUAAUGAUUAAAUGAAGGUGGAUUUAAAUGUAAUUUUUUUUUUAAUUAAUAAAAUGAUUUAAAAUUAAAAUGUGUACAUAUUGCCCGUCGCUUUCAUUUAUAAAUUGGAAUAAGUCGUAACAAAGUAGAGGUACUGGAAAGUGUUUCUAGAAAGAU